GUCCUUUAGAUUUAGAAUUUAAGGUUUAAUCUGCCCACUGAGUAAUUUAAUGGCCGCAGUAAUUUGACUGUGCAAAGGUAGCAUAAUCAUUAGUUUUUUAAUUAAAAGCUUGAAUGAAUGAUUGGACGAAAUAAAAUCUGUCUUUACAUAAAAUAUAGAAUUUAAUUUUUAAGUAAAAAAGCUUAAAUAUUAGUAAAAGACGAGAAGACCCUAUAGAUCUUUAUAUAAUAUAGUUUAUUUUUAAUUAAGAUUAUUUAAUGAAUUAGAUUUUAUUAUAUUUUAUUGGGGUAAUAAAAAGAUUAAUUAAAUUCUUUAUUUAUUUUACAAAAAUUCUUGAAUUAGUGAUCCUUUAUUAUGGAUUUAAGAUUAAGUUACCUUAGGGAUAACAGCGUAAUUUUUUUAGAGAGUUCUUAUCGAUAAAAAAGUUUGCGACCUCGAUGUUGGAUUAAAAAUUAAUUUUAGGUGUAGUAGUUUAAAAUUUUGGUCUGUUCGACCAUUGAAUUUUU
rnacentral:rRNA from 1 species